rnacentral:rRNA from 1 species
UACGGGGGGGGCAAGCGUUGCUCGGAAUUACUGGGCGUAAAGGGCGCGUAGGCGGCACUGUUAGUCAGGCGUUAAAUUCCUGGGCUCAACCUGGGGACUGCGCUUGAUACGGCAGAGCUUGAGGAUGGAAGAGGGUCGCGGAAUUCCCAGUGUAGAGGUGAAAUUCGUAGAUAUUGGGAAGAACACCGGUGGCGAAGGCGGCGACCUGGUCCAUUACUGACGCUGAGGCGCGAAAGCGUGGGGAGCAAACAGG